ACUGCCCGGAUAGAGUCAUGAGGCAGUUCGGUCGACGCCAGUCUUUCCCUGUGUCUUCAGCGUUGGAUCGUGUUCAGCGCCACGAUCAUAGGUAACAAAAAUGUAUGAGCACCCAUGUACUAAUAACGUGAAACUAAUUUCUAUUUAACGUGCAGUUUAUCAAGGGCUGGACAUCCUUUCUCGGAAAUGUGGGUCACUAGAUUACAACCAUGGGUGGCUGCGUGGGAUGAUGCAGACGAGCAGUUGGCUGAGGAUACCGGUCCACACACUGAGCCUUCGUUUCGGGCGUACCUGACCUGGAUCGCUAUGCACGACACAGGGAUGAGGCAUUAGCUGGGGCGUUCGAGGCAUGUAGGCUGCUUGAAUUAGAUUGCUCACUGAAUGUAAUGAGGAUUCAUGACGGGUCUACGAUGAGCGUGCCGGCACAACUCGAGGCCUGGACCACUCAACGUGAUAGAGCUCGAGGUAUCCUUCAGGCCUUUGGUACGCGGACGGAGUACGAGGAUUCCUACGGAUCGUCGCAAGCGUCGACGUCGGUUCCUUGUGGUCCCGCAUGGCAGCAGCCUCCCUUAUACCACCGACAGGCAGAAGGGUACGGGUACCCCGGUUCUCAGCCCUAC